GAGGUGAGCUAGAAAGGAGCCCUCAGACAGCUCGGCUUAAGCCAUGGCCUCUGUACGCAUCUCAACACUGGUGAUUCUCUUCACACUGGGUACUUUGAGCCUCGCUAAGACCACCCAGCCCAUCUUCAUUGACUCAUAUGAAGGACAAGAAGUGAACAUAACCUGUAACCACACCGACAUUGCUACAAAUGAGUACAUCCUCUGGUACCGACAGUUCCCCGACCAGGGACCACAAUUUGUUAUUCAAGGUUUUAACACAAAAAUGGAAAAUGAAGUGGCAUCUCUGUUCAUCCCUGACGACAGGAAGUCCAGCACCCUGAGCCUGCCCCGGGCUACACUGAGAGACACCGCUGUGUACUACUGCAUCGUGACUGCCACACAGUGA